rnacentral:misc_RNA from 1 species
UCGUAGGUCACUUAUGGGUGAGUCGAUCCU